UACGUAGGUGGCAAGCGUUGUCCGGAUUUACUGGGCGUAAAGAGCGCGCAGGCGGUCGUUCAAGUCGCGUGUGAAAGCCCCCGGCUCAACUGGGGAGGGUCACGCGAUACUGAUCGACUGGAAGGCAGGAGAGGGUAGUGGAAUUCCCGGUGUAGUGGUGAAAUGCGUAGAUAUCGGGAGGAACACCAGUGGCGAAGGCGACUACCUGGCCUGUUCUUGACGCUGAGGCGGCGAAAAGCUAGGGGAGCAAACGGGG
rnacentral:rRNA from 1 species